rnacentral:rRNA from 1 species
GGUUAAGAAACAAAGGGCGUACGGUGAAUGCCUUGGCAAUAGGAGCCGAUGAAGGACGCGACGAACAGCGAAAUGCUGCGGGGAGAUGUAAGUAAUCUAAGAUCCGCAGAUGUCCGAAUGGGGAAACCCACCAUAAGGAAGUUAUGGUACCCAUGAGUGAAUACAUAGCUCAUGAGGAGGGAACCCGGUGAACUGAAACAUCUUAGUAACCGGAGGAAAAGAAAGCAAAAGCGAUUCUCUGAGUAGCGGCGAGCGAAAAGGGACUAGUCCAGUGUCAUAAGAGUUACAAAACCAUAUUAUAGACGAAACGCAUGGGAAGGCGUAUCAAAGAAGGUGAGAAUCCUGUAGUCGAAAUAGUAUGGACUCGGACACGAAGAGUACGGCGGGACACGAGGAAUCCUGUUGGAAUAUGUGAGGACCAUCUCAUAAGACUAAAUACUACCUAUUGACCGAUAGUGAACCAGUACCGUGAGGGAAAGGUGAAAAGAACCCUUGGCAGGGAGUGAAAAAGAACCUGAAACCGUAUGCCUACAAAUAGUCAGAGCUCGUUAAUGAGUGAUGGCGUGCCUUUUGUAGAAUGAACCGGCGAGUUAUGAUAUUGUGCGAGGUUAAGCUUUUAGGAGUGGAGCCGAAGCGAAAGCGAGUCUUAAUAGGGCGAAUUAGUACAGUGUUGUAGACCCGAAACCGUGUGAGCUAGCCAUGAGCAGGUUGAAGGCUGGGUAAAACCAGUUGGAGGACCGAACCAGGGUAUGUUAAAAAAUGCUUGGAUGACUUGUGGUUAGGGGUGAAAUUCCAAUCGAACACGGAGAUAGCUGGUUCUCCCCGAAAUAGAUUUAGGUCUAGCGUCAGAGUAUAAAUUACAUGGAGGUAGAGCACUGAAUGUAUGAUGGUCCCACCUCGGGAUACUGAGUAUAAUCAAACUCCGAAUGCCAUGUAAAGAUUUCUGGCAGUGAGACAGUGGGUGAUAAGGUCCAUUGUCGAAAGGGAAACAGCCCAGACCGUCAGCUAAGGUCCCAAAAUAUAUGCUAAGUGGGAAAGGAUGUGGAGUCGCACAGACAACUAGGAGGUUGGCUUAGAAGCAGCCAUCCUUUAAAGAGUGCGUAAUAGCUCACUAGUCGAGUGAUUCUGCGCCGAAAAUGUACCGGGGCUAAGCAUAUUACCGAAGCUACGGAUCCUAAGGGAUGGUAGGGGAGCGUUCUUAUUGGGGUGAAGGUAGACUGUGAGGACUACUGGACUGAUAAGAAGUGAGAAUGCCGGUGUGAGUAGCGAAAAGACGGGUGAGAAUCCCGUCCGUCAAAAACCUAAGGUUUCCAGAGGAAGGCUCGUCCGCUCUGGGUAAGUCAGGACCUAAGGUGAGGCCGAAAGGCGUAGCCGAUGGACAACUGGUUGAUAUUCCAGUACCACCAUAUGAACUGAUGGAGUGACGGAGAAAGAUAACCUGAGCUAGUAAGAGGAUUCUAGUUUAAGCACAAAGGUGGUCAUGUAGGCAAAUCCGCAUGGCGUAACACUGAAGUGUAAUGACGUAAGUCAGGUGUGUCUAUGCUUCCAAGAAAAGCUUCUAGGGUUAAUUUAUAUGGUGCCUGUACCGUAAACGGACACACGUAGGUGGAGAGAGAAUCUUAAGACGCGCGAGAGAACCCUUGUUAAGGAACUCGGCAAAAUGACCCCGUAACUUCGGGAUAAGGGGAGGUCACUUAGGUGACCCGCAGAGAAUAGGCCCAAGCGACUGUUUACCAAAAACACAGGUCUCUGCUAAACCGCAAGGUGAAGUAUAGGGGCUGACGCCUGCCCAGUGCUGGAAGGUUAAGAGGAAGUGUUAGUCUUCGGACGAAGCUCUGAAUUGAAGCCCCAGUAAACGGCGGCCGUAACUAUAACGGUCCUAAGGUAGCGAAAUUCCUUGUCGGGUAAGUUCCGACCCGCACGAAAGGCGUAACGAUUUGGGCACUGUCUCAACAAGGGACUCGGUGAAAUCAUAGUACCUGUGAAGAUGCAGGUUACCCGCGACAGGACGGAAAGACCCCGUGGAGCUUUACUGUAGUUUGAUAUUGAUAUUCGGCAUGUAAUGUACAGGAUAGGUGGGAGACGGAGAUCCCGGAACGCUAGUUUCGGAGGAGUCAUCCUUGGGAUACCACCCUUUACAUGUUGGGUAUCUAACUUGCACCCCUUAUCGGGGUGGAGGACAGUGUCAGAUGGACAGUUUGACUGGGGCGGUCGCCUCCCAAAGAGUAACGGAGGCGCCCAAAGGUUCCCUCACAAUGGUCGGAAAUCAUUGGAAGAGUGCAAAGGCAUAAGGGAGCUUGACUGCGAGACGUACAGGUCGAGCAGGUAGGAAACUAGGGCUUAGUGAACCGGCUGUGCUGAAUGGAAAGGCAGUCGAUCAACGGAUAAAAGCUACCCCGGGGAUAACAGGCUGAUCUCCCCCAAGAGUUCACAUCGACGGGGAGGUUUGGCACCUCGAUGUCGGCUCAUCACAUCCUGGGGCUGGAGAAGGUCCCAAGGGUUGGGCUGUUCGCCCAUUAAAGUGGUACGCGAGCUGGGUUCAGAACGUCGUGAGACAGUUCGGUCCCUAUCCGUCGUGGGCGUUGGAAAUUUGAAGAGGAGCUGCUCCUAGUACGAGAGGACCGGAGUGGACGCACCGCUGGUGCACCAGUUACACUGCCAGGUGUAUGGCUGGGUAGCUAAGUGCGGAAGGGAUAAACGCUGAAGGCAUCUAAGUGUGAAGCCCCCUCAAGAUGAGAUUUCCCAUUCGAAAGAAGUAAGACCCCUUAAAGACUAUGAGGUUGAUAGGCUAGAGGUGGAAGUGCGGUGACGUAUGAAGCUGACUAGUACUAAUCGGUCGAGGACUUAACCUU